rnacentral:rRNA from 2 species
GUGGUAAUGCCGGAUGCUCCAGUUGAUCGCAUGGUCUUCUGGGAAAGCUUUCGCGGUAUGGGAUGGGGUCGCGUCCUAUCAGCUUGACGGCGGGGUAACGGCCCACCGUGGCUUCGACGGGUAGCCGGCCUGAGAGGGCGACCGGCCACAUUGGGACUGAGAUACGGCCCAGACUCCUACGGGAGGCAGCAGUGGGGAAUAUUGCACAAUGGGCGCAAGCCUGAUGCAGCGACGCCGCGUGAGGGAUGGAGGCCUUCGGGUUGUAAACCUCUUUUAUCGGGGAGCAAGCGAGAGUGAGUUUACCCGUUGAAUAAGCACCGGCUAACUACGUGCCAGCAGCCGCGGUAAUACGUAGGGUGCAAGCGUUAUCCGGAAUUAUUGGGCGUAAAGGGCUCGUAGGCGGUUCGUCGCGUCCGGUGUGAAAGUCCAUCGCUUAACGGUGGAUCCGCGCCGGGUACGGGCGGGCUUGAGUGCGGUAGGGGAGACUGGAAUUCCCGGUGUAACGGUGGAAUGUGUAGAUAUCGGG